rnacentral:lncRNA from 1 species
GGGUGGUUUCCACUUAUCCAUCCAAUAAACACAAUGUAUGGCUGAUAAGUUUCUUGAUAUCCUACUAAAUGUACACUAAUAAGGUGAUAAGUCCCUUUUUCUGAUAUUUUUAAUCCCGUUGAAAAGCCUUCCCGUUGAAUUAUUCUUUGGCUACACCAAAAGCAAAGUAUUUCCUGUCUCCAGCACCUACUUCUUUAGCUUUAGCAAAUUGCAUCCAUCAAUUUCAAUGUGUGUAAAUCACUUUUCCAGUAAAGAAA